rnacentral:rRNA from 1 species
GAACGGGCGUAGCAAUACGUCAGUGGCGGACGGGUGAGUAACACGUGGGAACAUGCCCUUCGGUACGGAACAACUCAGGGAAACUUGAGCUAAUACCGUAUGAUCCGGUGACGGCAAAGAUUUAUCGCCGAGGGAUUGGCCCGCGUCCGAUUAGCUAGUUGGUGAGGUAACGGCUCACCAAGGCACCGAUCGGUAGCUGGUUUGAGAGAACGACCAGCCACACUGGGACUGAGACACGGCCCAGACUCCUACGGGAGGCAGCAGUAGGGAAUCUUGGACAAUGGGGGAAACCCUGAUCCAGCCAUGCCGCGUGAGUGAUGAAGGCCUUCGGGUUGUAAAACUCUUUCGGCGGGGACGAUAAUGACGGUACCCGCAGAAGAAGCUCCGGCUAACUUCGUG